rnacentral:rRNA from 1 species
GGACUACUGGGGUAUCUAAUCCCGUUUGCUCCCCUGGCUUUCGUGCCUGAGCGUCAGGAACUGUCCAGAGACCCGCCUUCGCCACCGGUGUUCUGGUCGAUCUCUACGCAUUUCACCGCUACACCGACCAUUCCAGUCUCCUCUCCAGUCCUCGAGCGUGCCAGUUUCGAAUGACCUAUCACAGUUAGGCUGUGAGAUUUCACAUCCGACUUAACACACCGCCUGCGCACCCUUUACGCCCAAUGAAUCCGAACAACGCUUGCAGUCUCUGUAUUACCGCGGCGGCUGGCAC